rnacentral:rRNA from 1 species
CCUACGGGUGGCAGCAGUGAGGAAUAUUGGUCAAUGGGCGGAAGCCUGAACCAGCCAAGUAGCGUGCAGGAUGACGGCCCUACGGGUUGUAAACUGCAUUUAUACGGGAAUAACGCGCCUUACGUGUAGGGCUUUGCAUGUACCGUAUGAAUAAGGACCGGCUAAUUCCGGUCCAGCAGCCGCGGUAAUACGGAAGGUCCGGGCGUUAUCCGGGUUUAGUGGGGUUAAAGGGAGCGUAGGCGGCAUGUCAAGCGUGCUGUGAAAUGUCCGGGCCCAACCCGGGCCGUGCAGCGCGAACGGGCGUGCUUGAGUCCGCGGAAGGCAGGCGGAAUUCGUCGUGUAGCGGUGAAAUGCUUAGAUAUGACGAAGAACCCCGAUUGCGAAGGCAGCUUGCUGCAGCGGAACUGACGCUGAUGCUCGAAAGCGCGGGUAUCGAACAGGAUUAGAUACCCUUGUAGUC